rnacentral:rRNA from 1 species
GACGAACGCUGGCGGCGUGCUUAACACAUGCAAGUCGAGCGGUAAGGCCCUUUCGGGGUACACGAGCGGCGAACGGGUGAGUAACACGUGGGUGACCUGCCCUCAGCUCUGGGAUAGGCCUGGGAAACCGGGUCUAAUACCGGAUAUGACUCCAUGACGCAUGUUGUGGGUGAAAGCCUUGUGCGGCUGAGGAUGGGCCCGCGGCCUAUCAGCUUGUUGGUGGGGUGAUGGCCUACCAAGGCGACGACGGGUAGCCGGCCUGAGAGGGCGACCGGCCACACUGGGACUGAGACACGGCCCAGACUCCUACGGGAGGCAGCAGUGGGGAAUCUUGCGCAAUGGGCG